CAGAGAUGGGUGAAGUCCUUCGGGACAAGGUGACAGGUGGUGCAUGGUUGUCGUCAGCUCGUGUCGUGAGAUGUUGGGUUAAGUCCCGCAACGAGCGCAACCCUUAUCAUUAGUUGCUACCAUUUAGUUGAGCACUCUAGUGAGACUGCCCGGGUUAACCGGGAGGAAGGUGGGGAUGACGUCAAAUCAUCAUGCCCCUUAUGUCUAGGGCUACACACGUGCUACAAUGGUGAGUACAAAGAGAUGCAAGACCGCAAGGCGGAGCCAAACUCAAAAACUCAUCCCAGUUCGGAUUGUAGGCUGCAACUCGCCUACAUGAAGCCGGAGUUGCUAGUAAUCGCGAAUCAGCAUGUCGCGGUGAAUACGUUCCCGGGCCUUGUACACACCGCC
rnacentral:rRNA from 1 species